rnacentral:rRNA from 1 species
GAUGAACGCUGGCGGCGUGCUUAACACAUGCAAGUCGAACGGAAAGGCCCAAGCUUGCUUGGGUACUCGAGUGGCGAACGGGUGAGUAACACGUGGGUGAUCUGCCCUGCACUUCGGGAUAAGCCUGGGAAACUGGGUCUAAUACCGGAUAGGACCACAUUUUGGAUGGUGUGGUGGAAAGUUUUUCGGUGUGGGAUGAGCUCGCGGCCUAUCAGCUUGUUGGUGGGGUAAUGGCCUACCAAGGCGUCGACGGGUAGCCGGCCUGAGAGGGUGUACGGCCACAUUGGGACGGAGUUACGGCCCAGACUCCUACGGGAGGCAGCAGUGGGGAAUAUUGCACAAUGGGCGCAAGCCUGAUGCAGCGACGCCGCGUGGGGGAUGACGGCCUUCGGGUUGUAAACUCCUUUCGCUAGGGACGAAGCGUUUUUGUGACGGUACCUGGAGAAGAAGCACCGGCUAACUACGUG